UGAAAUUGAGUUUCAAAAGUGUGUCAAAUUUUGUGGCUUUUUAUGUGUCCCUCCAUCCUGACCUUACACAUUUUUACACACAUUAAGACACACUUUUUUAACCAUUAGAUUAAAGCUAAGAUUGCAUCUAAAAUAUAUUUUUAUUUUUAUUUUUAUUUUUAUAAAAAGAACCAUUAAUACACAUUGGAAAUAACCGCAAACUUAUUAUUAUUAUUUUUAAAAUCUUUUUAUAUUUUUUCUCUCCUCUCUUACACAAAGGAAAUAAAAAUAAAGAAGUGUUGUCUCUCUCCAUUUUCUUCUAUGAACAUGACCACCACCACCUCUUUAAAGAAAUAGUAUAGCUGCGCGGCUAUACUUAAAAAUAAAAAUAAAACAAUAGUAUAUUACUAAAAAAUUAAAAAAUAGUAUAGCCGUUCGGCUAUGCUAUUUAAAUGUUUGAAAUUUAAAACGCAUCGUCGCGCUGCCAUCCUUACAACCAAAAAUAAAACUUUAGUAUAACUGCGCCGCUAUACUGAAAAAUAAAAACUAAAAAUUAGUACAGCCGCCUGGCUAUGCUUAAAACGCAUAGCCGCACCGCGCCGCUAUACUUAACAAUAAAAGUUAACGGCUAUACUCAAAUAAAAACCGUAUAGCCAUGCGGCUAUACUCUUUUUUAAAAACAUUUUUUUCCUUACUUCAAAGACAAC
rnacentral:lncRNA from 1 species